rnacentral:rRNA from 1 species
UACGGGGGGGGCAAGCGUUGUUCGGAAUUACUGGGCGUAAAGGGCUCGUAGGUGGCCAACUAAGUCAGACGUGAAAUCCCUCGGCUUAACCGGGGAACUGCGUCUGAUACUGGAUGGCUAGAGUUUGGGAGAGGGAUGCGGAAUUCCAGGUGUAGCGGUGAAAUGCGUAGAUAUCUGGAGGAACACCGGUGGCGAAGGCGGCAUCCUGGACCAACACUGACACUGAAAAGCGAAAGCCAGGGGAGCAAACGGG